rnacentral:rRNA from 1 species
AGUGAACGCUGGCGGUAGGCCUAACACAUGCAAGUCGAACGGCAGCACAGUAAGAGCUUGCUCUUACGGGUGGCGAGUGGCGGACGGGUGAGGAAUACAUCGGAAUCUACUUUUUCGUGGGGGAUAACGUAGGGAAACUUACGCUAAUACCGCAUACGACCUACGGGUGCAAGCAGGGGAUCUUCGGACCUUGCGCGAUUGAAUGAGCCGAUGUCGGCUUCGCUAGUUGGCGGGGUAAAGGCCCACCAAGGCCACGAUCCGUAGCUGGUCUGAGAGGAUGAUCAACCACACUGGAACUGAGACACGGUCCAGACUCCUACGGGAGGCAGCAGUGGGGAAGAGUGGACAAUGGGCGCAAGCCUGAUCCAGCCAUACCGCGGGGGUGAAGUAGGCCUUCGGGUUGUAAAGCCCUUUUGUUGGGAAAGAAAAGCAGCAGGUUAAUACCCCGCUGUUCUGACGGUACCCAAAGAAUAAGCACCGGCUAACUUCGUG